rnacentral:rRNA from 1 species
UACGGAAGGCAGCAGUGGGGAAUAUUGCACAAUGGGCGCAAGCCUGAUGCAGCCAUGCCGCGUGUAUGAAGAAGGCCUUCGGGUUGUAAAGUACUUUCAGCGGGGAGGAAGGCGAUGCGGUUAAUAACCGCGUCGAUUGACGUUACCCGCAGAAGAAGCACCGGCUAACUCCGUGCCAGCAGCCGCGGUAAUACGGAGGGUGCAAGCGUUAAUCGGAAUUACUGGGCGUAAAGCGCACGCAGGCGGUCUGUUAAGUCAGAUGUGAAAUCCCCCGGGCUUAACCUGGGAACUGCAUUUUGAACUGGCAGGCUUGAGUCUUGUAGAGGGGGUAGAAUUCCAGGUGUAGCGGUGAAAUGCGUAGAGAUCUGGAGGAAUCCGGUGGCGAAGGCGGCCCCUGGGCAAAGCUGACGCUCAGGUGCGAAAGCGUGGGGAGCAAACAGGGAUUAGGAUACC